rnacentral:tRNA from 1 species
GGGCCGCUAGCUCAGUUGGCAGAGCAUCGGACUUUUAAUCCGAGGGUCGAAGGUUCGAAUCCUUCGCGGCUCA